rnacentral:lncRNA from 1 species
AAGUAGCAAAGAGCUUGGUGGUUGGUACGUGUGAUUUCAAAUUCGAAUUCUAAUUAAUUCAUAUUUUCAGCUAAAUUUAUUUUUUUAAAAAAUAAACGAAAUGAGUAGUAUGCUAUAUUUUUCUCAAAAAAAAAAAAUCAGUACUAUGAUUCUUCAAAAAACUUUGAUAGCACUAUAUAUAUAUAUUAUCGAUAGUAUCAAGUUCUCGGUACUCAACUGCACAUCCUUUCGUCCAAGGGCCGAAAAUUCGAUAGUACCAACUGUUUGGUACUAUCGAUAAUAUAGUAGCAAAAUUCUAUAUAUAUAUAUAUAUAUAUAUAGAGUACAGCUCGGGUACUAUCGAUAGCACCAAAGAUUUGGUGCGAUCGAGUUUUCCAUCUUAGAUUUAACCAUUUGAUUAUAUUUAUCCGUUAGAUUAUACUAUUGAACUAACCACUCACUAAACCCUUCGGGCCCACAUCAUCCUAACCGUCCAUUUCUCAAUCCAAGGGCUAAAAAAUUAAUAGCACCGAUAGCUUGUUGCUAUUGAUAGUAUUCCAGCUUAGAUAUAUA